GGGGUCGACUGGUUUUGACAGCGAGAUUAAUUGAACGGUAAGCACGUCGUGUAAGGACUUUGAUACACGUAAAAGGCUAAGUCAAACUUUAAACGGCGAGAAUAACUACGCUUUAGCUGCUUAAUCUGAAUUUACAGUAAGAUAAGCCUCGGCACACAAGGUGUGCGAGCUAAAUGUCUCCAGAAAGCCUUGGUUAACGGCGUUCUUUUUUGAGGCAUCGUAAAUGUUAACAUAGAUGGAGUAGCGCUUUGAUGCUCUUUCGAAACUUAAAAAGAUAAGUUAUAAAUAGGUUGUCUUUAACCAGUUUAUAAUCGAAAACACAAGAAAAGAAUAAACGUGUAGAAAGCCCUUUGGUUACUUGUUUGGACGAGAGUUCGAUUCUCUCCGACUCCACAA
rnacentral:tmRNA from 1 species